ensembl:lncRNA
GGGCUGUCUGGCACUGGGGAAGGAUCCCUCUGAAGAUUGCUCUUCUUUGAGUUUUCUUUGGUGAGCCCAGGACAUGGGUUGGCUCAAUACACAUUGAUCAACAUCUCAGAAGACGUUAUCUGAUCCAAAAUAUUUCUUAAGUGAAAAGAAAAUCUAAAGUCUUCUAAGAUGAACAGGGUUAGCUCUCUGCACAAGAAUGAAUAUCUUUCAUAUACAGUAUCUUCUCUUAUAUGUGCUUUCAAAGAAUUCCUGAAUUUAAGUGUUCUGGACAAAUUUUUCACAUGUGGUGCUUUCAUAGAAAUUGAAGAGAAUAUACAAUCAGUAACAUCAGCAUGAAACAUCUUCCAAUUCCCAUCUGCCCCAGGCAUUCUGUUUUGACAAAGUAAAUAACUUCUUUUACAGUGGAUGAAUCCAUGCCAUUCUAAAGCAGAAAAAAAAAAAACCCUAAGCAAAGCAAAUUUGUAAGUGCAAAGCUUUGUUUCAACUACAUCAUUGUAAAAAAAACUUCCAAAGCAUUUGAGCUUCAACAAAAACAACAAAAAAAACCAACUCAUUUUAUAAAAAUUGUUUGGUGCCGAAGUAUUAUAUGGUGAAACUGUCAGCUAUUUAAGAGCUUCAGCUUAAAGCUGGAGCAUGUGCAAAGAUGCUGAAAAAACAGCAUGUCCAGUUCAUCUUCACAGUUACAAAUGUAGUAGGUGAAUUUGAAAAUCUGCCAAACCUACAGUGUCAAGCGGCUUUCAGGCAUGUACAGUAGCCAUUUUGAGCCAUUUAAGAUGACUCCAGAAUGGUGAUGACUACUGGAAAACUCCUUGUUCUUCCUGUCACUGAAAGACAGGUAUAUAGGAAAAGGUCCUGAAAAAGGGUGCUGUCCUACAUUAUGAAGAGUUUCUGCUGUAAGUCAUUAAAUUACAAAAAAGUCUGCCCAUCUGUUCCAGUCAGGGCAAAGCAAUCGUCAGUAUCCAGAGUUUGUGCUUCCUGUCCCUCAAAUCCUACAGUAGCACUGCACUGAGGAUGACUCCGCUGGAAAGAGACUUUUUUUUUUUUGUUAAAAUUUAUGGCAUCUUACAGCACAAAAAGGCCACUGCAACACAAAGAUGUUAAGAAAAACAGCAGGAUAGCAAUGGUACUGAGAUAACGUGAAAAUCUGCAAAACCAGUGAGAUGUGGUGGAACAACUCUGGCAACUGCUGACAGAAGAGUGUAUUUGCUGAAAGGAUAUGCUUGCUGAAACAGUGAGUGACAAGAUUGCCAAGGAGAGUUAGAUAGCUAGGUCACUGGCCAAACAUCAGGAAAGUUUAAUGGCUAUAAGAUCAUGCAUGACUAAUACUGAGGUGGGAAUGGAAAUUGCUCAAGAGGAACAGUGUUAAACUAGCAGGAAAUUAGGGAAGAUGGCAAUGGCAUACACUUGUUCAAGUUGGAGAUUCAAAAAAAUAUCAGCUAACCAUUUAUUACUUUCUAUAAAAGAUGUAUCUGAAUGAUAACCCAAAGGUAUUCAGAUUAAAAUCAAUUUGAGAUGAGUUUCUCAUCUCAUGAAACUUGGUAGACAAGAAGAAAGAGAUGAAGAUUAAUCUGACUACUUUGAGAGUAUAGAAGUAUUAAACAGAAAAGGGAGAUCAAGAAAAAUAAGACUGCAACUGAAACAACCUAUACCAUCUUUGGUAUAAGCCACUAUUAGUUCUGCCAAUGUCAGUGUACACGGCUGUGUUGGUCCAUUGGCUCUCACCGCCCUAUAAAGAGUCCAUCAGUCAGGCUCUUCCAGCAGACAACAGACACUUGAUGUGAGAAAGAAGCAGAGGUUCUGGUCUAGCUGCAAAAAAUUAGGCAUAUCAGAGACAGCAAAUAUAUAUAAAGGACCUGUACUUGCUCUGACAGAGCAAACAAGAAAGGCUUUGAGCUGGGGACCGUGGUUUUCUAGAGAUGGUUUGCUUUGUUAAACUCCCACUGACAGAAAUAGUGGGUGAUAGCAGGAAAAAAAAAAAAUAUCAGUUGAAUCAGCUCAAGGAAAUAUGACAAGAAAUCAGAAUUAAGAUGAAAUGUGACAAGGAAGUUUUCACAGCAAGGGAAAAACUAGGAAGGGAGAAGAUGCAAAUAGGAACUGACAGCAAGAAACUGCUUGGGAUCGUAAAUGAGCUCAGUGGAAGGAAGCAUGGCACUUGCUAGGCUGGAACCACUAAAUUAUGGGAUUACACACCCAGAACUCAGCACAGCAGCAUUCUCUCCCAGCCGCCUGAGCAGCAGAUUUAUUAUAUUGUACAGCCUUUCCCAAUCUGUCCUUGUAAAAGCAUUGAAGUCAAUGCUGAAUGGGAAAUUAACCAACCCCUCUCUUGUCUCUUCAUUUCUCAUUAAAUUAGUGAGAAAAUGUAAAUGUUAUUUUCUCCAUCUCUGUCUCUCUUCACCAGUUGUUGAUGUGCCAAGAGCUAAAAGGGAGAAGAUUUAAUUCAGAGCUUUGUGCUCACCCUUCAGAAGACAGUGGCCUUCACAGGUGCUCACAGGAACUAUUGAAACUGCAGCACUUCUGCUUUCAGCUAGUGUUGUGACCCAUGUCCAUAAGACAUAAAGGAAGAAAUUUAAAAUAAAAGGCAACAGGGUGCUUAUGAAAACAUUUAUUCCCAAGGUUCAAUAGUAUUCUAUGAUAAAUUCAUAUAAGGUCAAACCUUUCCUAGGACAAUUUCAUAAAACUCCAAAAUGGAAACUCUUGAAACAAAGAAAUCCACAAGGCUGUAGACAGUUUGCUCCACGUGACUGAUUCAAAACUUUGGCAAGUUCUCCUGUCUUUGUUGUUGUUUUCAUGAUGGUAGGAAGAAGGGGGUGGAAGGGGUUAGCUUACUCAGCCUUCCGUAGAUUCCUUUGUUCUAGACUUUUUAGUUAGUGUGAUUCUCAGAAUACUGAAAUUUCAUGAAGACAGAUAGCAGGGAGGCUUUUUUAAGGCUCAGAUUAUGAAAAGAUGCAAAGGAGAUACUCCUUUCACGAAAGACAAAGACUGCACUCACGUACCUUUUUUUUUUUUUUUAAUUUCUCUCUGUAUUUACUCACAAAAAAUAAGAAGUGUGGAACCAUUUGCAUGCUUCUGCUUUAUUCAGCCAAGAAGAAACUGUGACAGGUUUCUCUGAGCU